GUUUGGUCAGGCUUGACCCUAAUAGAGGCUUCCCACUGAGACUGUCAUCAGCUCCGGUGUAUCCACAGUCAACAUUGACAGAGAGUGAACAACCUUUGCUGCCUCCUGUGGAUCCUCCAUCUUACUUACACUCAAUUGUACUCCAGAAUCACCCAUUCGACACUAAGGCUCGAAAGAGGACAGCCCGGCACAACCCGCGAGGACUGUCUGGACUGCACGAACCUGCUAGAGGCGUGUCAGGAGUCCGCUCUCAUCACAAGGUGGAUGAGUCCAGAAUUGACCCUCUCAUUCGACUGGGAAAACGAAAGAACUGUAUUGAUUGAUUUGUUUAAAGAGAGAUCUUACUAAUUCUGGAUAGAGUAGAAAAAAAU